GAUUUUUAAUUACCACUGUAAGAAUAUAUAAUUUUAAAAGAAUAAUUUUAAAAAAGGAAGACAAAUUUCUUUCUUUAGCGAGACAGAUUUUGUAUUAGGUGAAAGAUUGAUUGUGAUUAUUAAUAUGUACAUCGCGCAGCAGAUAUUUCAGAAUUUUUAUUACGUUCGAGACAGUCUAUUCCACUCAGUCGAAAUUACGUUUACACGUUGAUAUCACAUUAACAUUGUUUCUUCAAUGGAAACGGAGCUCCAGGGUGAAAAAGUUAAAGAAUUUUCUGACGACGACACCAUAAUAAACAGUGUACAGCGAGAUGUAGUUAAAUUCACCGUAAAAAUAAACCGGUACGUGACGCGAACGCGACGUAACGACGAGACAAACUGUUGUUACUUUUGAUAGCGUGUUCGGCUUCUUCCGGAAAAAGUGUCUUUUCAGACAAAACAAGGUUUCUACAGUGGCUUUCUUCAAACGACAAAAUGGCACAAAAUCCUUUUUAUAUUCGCACUGUGGAUGGCAAUUCGACGAAGUGAAUCGAUACUUUUAGGUCAGAAAUCUCGAGCAUUUUUUAUAUGGAAACGUCAAAUGUUUGUCUGUUAUCCUUUAAGAUAGAAUGUAUUGGAGACAAAACGAAGAGGAUUAUUCGAUUAAAAGAUCCCUGUCUUAUGAUUUUUAGUUAAGGACAUUCAUAAGAUGUAGUAUUUAAUGUAAUGAAUAUUAUAUACCUCGAAUUGUUAUAGAUAUAGCAAAUUUCAAAUGAUUUCCUUAAUAAUGAAACUGCCGAGAUUAAAAGAUUAAAAUGAUUCUCUUCUGAAAGAAUUAAAAUGAUACGUUAUCUCAUUAUUUCUUGUUUUCUAUUUUUCCAAUUUAAAGUAUCUAUAUUUAAUCCUUUCUUCCAGAGUUUCCAAUGACUUUCUUUCUAUUUGGAACAAUAGAACUAGAAAAAGUUACUCUAUGGAGUUUAUUAUCUUAUCUAAAGAGAUUCACAACCUCAUUUACUUCCUUAAUCUAUUUCUCUCAUUCUUCUCUCGCCCUAAUUUUCAAGACAAUUAAUCAACCCCUGAACGUACGCAGCAAAACGUUUAAAAACGAACUUUCGAACGAAGAACAUCAAGAAAAAGAUGACUGAUUAAUUGUACAAAAGGCAGAGAUACGCAGCGAGCGAGGCAGGAAAAGAAGACAUAAACCGAAGAAAAGAGAGAAAGAAGGUACAACCGGCAAAGAGAUAGCAAAGUAAAUUAAAUAGCUCCGUUAGCGUCCUAGGGAGCAAAGAGAAGGUAAAAGCCAUGGAACUUGGAUACAUUAGUGAAUUAGUUACGUUAGCGGUUUGGGAUUUAGUUCUCUAAUCAAAAGAACGAAGAGUGAAGGCUGUGGCAAUUGAUGUAAAAGUACAACUUCUCGAGGACCAAUUACGUGGUAAAGUAAAACUUCUCCGACGUAAUCAACGAGGAGAUUAUGGCGUGGGUUAAGUACAUUAUGCGUGGAAUAAUUUUCUCAAUUGAAACCGGAAGAACCUGACACCUGACGAUCGAUCACAGGACGCGCUAAACGAAUGUUUGAAUAACCUUACGAAGGAGAAUCUUUCGACUAUACCAUCAGUGAAAUUUUAAAGGUUCUCUAAAUGAUAAAUAAAUCAAACCUGGUAGACAAAGUAAUAAACAAAACACACCCACUGAGAAUUUACAGACGAUGAGUUUUAUUCACGUUUAAUAUGAUGCUCGUAGUACACUUUAUGUAAGAAGUAUAAUCAAUUGGCUCUUAAAUUCGGUACGAUGCAAACGCAAUGUACGCGAUACAGAUAAUAUUUACAAGUACGUAUAUAAUUCACGAUUUAUUCGCAUGUAUGUACUCGUGUGAGAAUAUGUCGUCCAUGCGGGUUUGUAUCGCAUCUUUUGUACGAAUUUUAAAAACGAUUCGAUUUGGUGUACACACAUCGAUGGAUGAACGAGUCGACGAUAAAAAAAAAGAACAAAAAAUAUACAAAGAACAAGAAAGAAAAAUAAAAAUAAAAAGUCGCGAUUGUCGCAUAUAUACGUCGUUCUAAAAAAUGGUGCAUGGCGGUGAGGCAGAAAUAUUAUCAACGCCCAAAUUUCGCCGCUAAUCUCAUUCCACUGAUCUAUCUGCAUCCGGAAAUUGAUCAUUCCAGAGAGGCUAAGCCAGCAUCCGUGCAUGUACGAUAUUCGUGCGUGUUUACGCCUUAGGAGAGACGGAAGACGGAAAUUAAUACUGCUCAGUCCAGGGCGUUCAUGAACGGCGAUGUACCAGCUGCAAACAGGCUUUCCAUUAACUCUGUUAACCAGUUUAAUCCGUGGAAUCGUUGGACGCUUAAGAAAGGAACAUUGCAAUGCCGCGACUGGCUACUGAAAUCUGUCUCGGUCUGAAGGAGAUUUAAUUGAAUUUUCAGUCGAGUUAGUUUUUUGAAAGAUUAUUCGAAUUUGCUAGGUCUAAAAUCAAAUAAAUGCGACACGUUCUAAAGGAAAUUUAAUAUUAUAACGAAUUCACGAGGUGUGAAACGUUUAGAAAGUAUUGUAAGAUUUAAAGAGGAUUUAAGAAUUAUUUAGAUACAUGUAAUACUUCGUACUGCGUUUAAUAAUUCAGUUAAUAAUUGAAUACUUAGUUGAGAUAAUUUUUUGAAGAAUAAUUAGAAAUCUAAAUUCAGAUUGCUAUAAAAUGUACAAAGUAUGUUGAGAAUAUUUAAACAGUAAGUAUUGUAUUCUGAUUUUAUUAUUUUAUCAGCAGCUCUGACCUAUACUGUUCGCAAUAUGUGUAAUAACUUUCAAUUAAUACACAUGAAUCUGCCCUAGAUUUCAAAGGAUUAAUGCCGUAUACGAUUGAAUCAAUGAAUAUCCGAAGUCAGAUACAGAUAGAUCAAUGAAAUCCUGCGAUACAUGAUAACGAGGUCGAGAAAUUCGUUAGCGAAACAACGAGCCGGAAUAUAUCGUCGAUUUGCUAGAGGAGUGACGCAUCUGAAAAAUUUACGCUUUUUCAAAAUCCAGGGUAUAAGCUGCAUAAGAAAAAUGCUUUUCGUUGUUAAAUAAUUAAUAAUUUUCUAUUUCAAAUAAAAUUUGCUAAAAAUUUGCAUUCCUUAAUCGUGUCACUUUCCUAGCAUAUCUAGAAUAUAACAUAAAAAUAUAAAAUCGCUUAUUCUGUCUACACUCGAUAAAACAUCUACAUACAAUGUUUGCACCAAUGAACACGUUAUCUUACAGCAUCGAAAUGAUACUUAAACGAAGACAUACUUUUAGAAGUCGUAUGAACAGAUUUUUCCCCAUGAACGUUCUAUAAUACAAUACCAUAGAAUAGAUACGUUUAGUUUAGUUCGUAAUCUUAACGAUGAUUAUGAUUAUGUACACUAAACGAAUGUAUCCAAACGUCACCGAACAGACAGAGACAGAAUUUGUACAGUGUUAAUUAUCUUGUGAUAUUUUUCUCAAGUGAUCACGAAUGUAGAUACUUUCUUUAAAAAUGAACGACAUAGUCCAUAAUAAUGGAGUGAAUUGGAUUCCAUGACGUUUUCCUUCGCUGUUCAAGUAACGUUUUAUAUGCAUCAAUUACAAAAUCCACAGUUUUUGUUCUUUCUCUCUUUUUUCGAUCGUUCUUGACAUGCAUACGUUCUUCAAAAAGUUUGUCAUUUGUAUUAUAACAUAUCGUGCGGAAGACAUCGCAUAUUUGAUCAUUUAAUUUCAAUAUUUAAUUAAGUUAUGUGGGAGUGAAUUCAUAAAUUGCUUUCUAAUAUAUUCGAGAAAUAUACGGGCAUGGGCAAUAAUUAUUGCCGUUUCCUGUAUCCGCUACUCGUUUCUGAUAUUAGUCUAUUGAUAUUAAAUACAUUCGAGGCUUCGAAGCAUUUUAACAAAAUUGAUAAAAUAUGGAAAUACCAUUAUAGGAUUAAAUUAUUUCACUCUACUAUAAAUUCGGAUUCGAAUAAAAAGUUAUAAAUAACCAAUUUUAAACGACAAAUUUUGUUUAAAAAUUAAUAUAUCGUUGACAACUAUUCAUGAACAUAUAUUCAGUUAUAAUUUUAAUAAAAUUAAUCGUAUCCACAAUCAUCCCUAUUCCUUACUGCGCCAUGUGUAUAUGAAGCUUACAGAUAUGAAAAAUAUGAUGUAAUACUUUUUCCGUUGUGCAGAAAAGAACAAUUUUAAAAAUCAGUCAGUUGUCAAGUAAUCCCGGAUUAAAACUGUGUUUGUAUUUGAUUUUAGGAUUACAUAUGUGUUUCCAUCGCGCUCUACGACGUUAACAAAAAUUUAAAAAUAUUACUUGUGUAGAAUAGUAUCAAUUAAGCUAAAGUUACAUAACAACAAAGCUAAUAUUUUUCGUCACGUAAUAAGUAACGCGGGUUCUGCAACUAAUAUUUCAUAUUAAAAUACAUCUUUUUAGCUACCAAGUUUCAUAAAAGUUGGAAAAUCAACGAAAAUGGACUUAUCAUAUAUUUUUCAUGUGGUCUUCAUACACAUAUAAAAUCGCAGAGACAGCGACAAUUAAGGAUUAGACUUUCGCGGCGACAGCUCACGCCGCGACCGCUUAGGCUGGGUUUCGUUUCACGACGGCCACCCUCUUUUGCCACGAGUGGCGCAACGAAAAACAAAGGAUCUCGAGAUUGCUCGUUAAUCUUUCCGCUCAAACAGCGUGCAUCGUUGUCUUCCGCACGGCACGAUAAAUUCCAGUGAGCUCCAAUUAACGACUGAAUGACUGUACACUGUACACUGUAUAAAGUGCUAGUCGAAGUACUGCCAUGUUCGUUCGUUCGCGUCACUUGUAAAGACAAAGAACGAAAAAAUGGAAGAAAAAAAAAGAAAGAAAGAACCAGACUUAUACACAUACACACAUAGAAAGAGAGAAAGAGAGAGAGGGAGAGAGAGGGGGGGGGGGAUAAAGCAACUGGAGAAGGUGGAUGGUUUUCAUCUCGCGCUAAACUUUUAGUUCGCGCCUCGUUGCUUCUCUCGUCGUAUCUCUUGUUCGUCGAUUGCCUUUAUAGUUCAUCGAGUCGCGAGUUCGAUUAGUCCCGUGCACCUUGCUCUUCUCCCUUCGACGAUGAUUCAGCUUCGUAGCUUCAGGUCAAAGGCGCUUUCCCUACGAAGUGUCUGUACUUGUUGCAUACCGGAUACCUGCCCUCCUCGGACACGAUCGAUAGGUUCGAUUCCUGCCUCUCGCGACUACACAGUGUCUUCUUCGCGGACUUUUUUGUCCCGUUCCCGCAAUCCAGCGCGUAACGCAACUCGCUCGCCAUCUCCGAGCACAUGGACUUCUGGAAAGUUCCAGUAAACAUCCGCUGCAUCCCUUUAAUCGUGCUCUCUUCGCGAUAUGCGAAGCUUCGUCAGCCAAGUGCGAUGACGUGUGUACGUAUAGUAUAAUAUGCACAUAAACAUUUUAACCUGGUUUUAAUAUAGUCGAGAUACGAAGUUUUAUUGGCGCAAUAACUUUUUAUCGGUAUGCUGUCCUGGAGUGAUUGCGGGCUGCUAGUAUGUAGGUGCCUUCGUGAUGGGGUUUGUUUGAAGCAGAGUGAGAGAAGUUGGCAAAGAAUACGUUCAAGGGAAUGUUUUUAAAUGUACAUAAUUUUGUUUAUAGUAGGUUCUUUUUUUAGAGAUAACAUAUUUUAUUGAAAUAAAUGACUACGAACUUUGGACAAAACUAGCUUCUUCCUAAUUAUAAUCGUUAGAAACGUGGCGUUCCAAUUUCGAUUGGUAUCGUUAUGUCACAGGUAAUCGUAAUAGUUUGCGAUAAAUUUAAUUUUAAUUUAGAUUCUAUAUCUCACACGAUAAAUACAUUUACGAUCAUGUGCUGCUUUAAUAUUAAGAUAAUACAAAUUCGGUUAGAAAAUGUAUACGUAGGAAGAAUAUGAUUAACCAGAAUUGUCGAGAAUUGUGUUUUUGAAGUUUAUGCGAGGGUUCUAAGAGGAUUACCACUGUAUUUGUUAUGUAAAACAGGAUAAACACGAAACAAAUUAAAAUAAAGUACAUUCUCAAAAAAACAAAUUAACUUAACCAAAACUCCUAUAGACUGUUUGUAUUUCAACAAUACCAAUUGAAGAUUCGAAGUUCAGUAUCUUAUGAGGAAUACCUGUAAGUAAACAAGUUUACAGACUCUACGAUAAGAUAGGAAUUCUAACCCAGACAUUUUACAAAGGACUAUAAAGCAUAUCGCUUCCUUAAGAUUUUUGGGUUCAUGGGAUACUCUACGAUCCAAUGAUAUUAGCUGAAGUAGUUACAAGAAUGAGAAAACAAGUUUAAAGACUCUGCAGUAGAAUAGAAACUUUGAGUUAGACAUCUUGAUGAGGACAUCAAGCAUAUUGCUCUUUUAAAAUUGUUGGGUUUAUGCGACGCGUCAUGGCACGAAGCUGACUUUCUCGAGAUAAACAAUUCUGUUGGAUAUAUGCAUGCAACCUUAAUUAAUAAUCAAUUAUUUCAUAGAAGCUGUGAGUACGUGAAGGAAAAAAUACAAGGAAUCAAGCACACAUAGUAAACCAGUUUGUGUCUUAUAAUUAUUCGUGCGAUGUUCAACAAAUAAUUUAUAACAAUCUGCUUUGUUUUUAAUAAAUUUUCAUAUAAAACGGUAUCCACAAGCUGUAAAUAAGGAAAAUAAAGUAUUAAAAAAUUCAAUUCGCAAAGGAGACGAACAUAAAACUAAGAACAUUACUCACACCAUACUGCGUUACAAGAAUUAUUUUUUUGUUUUACCCUGUUUAAUUAAUAACAAGAAAAUAACAAUGAUGAAAAUGGAAACAAUUUUUCAAUACAUUUAUUUUAGUUUCUUGUAAACUUUUCUGUAUAUAUAUAUAUAUGUAUAUAUAUUUAUCCAACAAAUAAAACAAUGUUUAAACUUUGAAAAACCCAAAAGAUGAAUAAACCGAAGGAUUCUUAUAAAUAUUUCCUUCCUCCGUAAAAGUUCGUUUAAUAAUUCCAUUUCCAACAUUGCGGUAUACCGAACGACAAAAAAAGUCAGCUAUUCGGAAAGAAAUAUCUCAUGCUCUACGGUCUGUCAAUCGACAAGUGCUAUGACACAACGAGUAGCAGAUACAUAGUAGAAAAGAAAAGUUGCUCACCUCCUGCGUAUCCAUGGCGGGAGAGAAAGAGAGGCAAGAAACAUUGCGACACAACUAACAAUGUCAUACUAAACUGUCACACAUCGUGCGCGUGUCCUUUCGAACCGUACAUGUGAUUCAUUCUUUAACACCUACGUUUCGAUUGCGAUCACUGUUCUCAUUAUUUCUUCUUUCUUUUUUUUUCUCAUUUCAUAUCAUACAAGUUUAUACGAAUCCAGACAUAUAGAAUCUUCUAUCGCAUAAUUGAAUUUCUUCUCAAAUAUGUAGAAUCUGCAAGCUUCUAUCGGUGGAAUAAAAAUUUUA